AUUGAACGCUGGCGGCAGGCCUAACACAUGCACGUCGAGCGGAGCGGCGGACGGGUGAUUAAUGCCUAGGCAUCUGCCUGGUAGUGGGGGAUAACGUCCGGUCACGGGCGCUAAUACCGCAUACUAUCAGAUGAGCCUAGGUCGUAUUAGCUAGUUGGUGGGGUAAAGGCCUACCAAGGCGACGAUCCGUAACUGGUCUGAGAGGAUGAUCAGUCACACUGGAACUGAGACACGGUCCAGACUCCUACGUGAGGCAGCAGUGGGGAAUAUUGGACAAUGGGCGCAGUCCUGAUCCAGCCAGGCCGCGUGUGUGAAGAAGGUCGUCGGAUUGUAAAGCACUUUAAGUUGGGAGGCGUUACCAACAGAAUAAGCACCGGCUAACUUCGUGCCAGCCGCCGCGGUAAUUC
rnacentral:rRNA from 1 species